GCAUCGGCGGGAGGCAUCGACGCACGGUCGCCCAACCUGGUCGUCUGGACCGUGUCGAGCCAAUGACGAGACCGACUCGCCGUCGC
rnacentral:ncRNA from 1 species